GGAAGAGGGGCUGGCUCUCAGUCACCACAGCAUGGGGGGCCUUUCUGUUCUGGUUUUGCCCAAGAGUAAGCUUAUUUGCAUCUGGUUCUAGCAGGGCAGUUGCUGCCAAGGCCCUCAAACAUGGGGGCCAUCCUUUCGAAUCUCUGUCUAGCUGUUUAGAGAGGUAGGCCACCGGCCUCAGCCAAGGCCCCACAGUUUGGGUUUAAAGUCCAGCUGCCAUCUUUUCUCUGAUGCAUACAAUGGAAAAGGCUUUGUGAGAUCAGGUAGCCCCUGGGCUGGGGCUUUCAGAAGUUUUUCCUUUAAGUCAUGAAAGACUUGCUGUUGUUGGAAUCCCCAUUCCAAAUGUUCCCGGUCCCCGUCCCCUUUGUCACGUCAUAGAAAGGCGUGGCUAAUACUGCAAAGUUUGGGCUCCGCAGUCUACAAAACCCCACAGCUCCUAGGAAUUCUCUCACCAGCCUUCUGCCCUUAGGCUCCAGUAGAUUGCAAAUGACCUGCUUUCUUUGGGAUCCCGGGCUGCUUUCGGACACCUGUCGAAUAGUAAAUCCCAAGUAAGGUACCUGCGGUCGUCGGCAGAUCUGAGUUUUCUUCUUGGACACCUAAUACCCACAGCCCUCCAGAGACCGUGAGGUUGAUGUCACUCCCAAUAUCGGAGGAAGUAUGCACCCCCGUGUGAGAUGGUCCUUAAUAAUAUUCCACGGCGGAGGGGGUGAUAUGACUACAUACAUGGCAGAAAGUGGAAACCCCCCAGGGAUAUUAUUCCCACGAUCCUGGAGGGAAGAAGAUGAUGUUACUUUCUAUAUGACAGAAGGUGGAUGAAGUGGUGGACUGCCCCUCCACACCUGUGGACACGCCCCCACUGAUAUUCCUUCUAAUUGCAACGUGGGAGAGGAGGAUAUGACAGGCGAUAUCGCAGGGAGUAGAAACACCCCUGUGAUACUGUUCUUCAUAUUCAGGGAUGAAGAGGAUGAUAUUACUCCCAAUACAGAUGGGUGUACACCCUCUGUACACCGAGGGUGUACACCCGUCUGUGAAAGAGUUCGUAAUCUCCAGAGGGGGAGAUGAUAUUACUCACAAUAUGGUAAAGAGGCUGUGAGUCCACGGAGGAUCCUCAGAGCCAGUGGGGGAAGAGGGGCUGGCUCUCAGUCCCCACCUCAGGGGGGUGACUACCCCCACUGCGAUGGGGGUCCUAAGAGCCAGCGGGGGAGGAGGAGCUGGCUCUCAGUCUCCGCCUCGCGAGGUGCCUCCCCACCUUGUGGUCGGGGUCCUAAGAGCCAGGGGGGAAGAGGGGCUGGCUCUCUUUGUGGAUGAUUCUUUUUCCAUUCUCAUGCACUUUUCUUUUUUCUUUCUUUUUUUUUUUUGAGACUGAGUCUUGCUCUGUUGCCCAUGCUUUGCUGGAUCUCGGGUGACUGCAACCACUGCCUCCCAGGUUCAAGAGAUUCUCCUGCCUCAGCCUCCUGAGUAGCUGGGACUAGAGGCGUGUGUCACCACACCCAGCUAAUUUUUGUAUUUUUAGUAGAGAUGGGGUUUCACCAUGUUUGCCAGGAUGGUCUCUAUCUCCUGACCUUGUGAUCCACCCACCUCAGCCUCCCAAAGUGCUGGGAUUGCAGGUGCGAGCCACUGGGUCCAGCCUCUCAGGCGAUUUUCAUACCUGCAUACUCUGAUCACUACUCUGUUAAACAGUCAAGGAAGCUGAGUGCCACGUGCUGACAUCACUAAGAUCAAUACAGCAAACUCUGAAAGAUGGACAGAGAGACAGGAGAUGGUCCUUUAUAAUGCAGUGUGAUCUGUGCUGCAAUAGAGAUGGAAGAGUGUUCUGAUCGGCUGGAAAACAACGCACAUGGGAAGCUGUACAGAAAUGAGUGGGGAAAGUUUUGGAAGCUAGAAGUUCAAAACGAGGUGUUGGCAGCACCAUGCUCUCUCUGAAGAUGCUAGGAAGAAUCUGCUCCAUGCCUUUCCAUUCGCUUCUGGGGUUUCCUGCAAGCCCUGACAUUCCUUGGCUUGUAGAUGCAUCACCCCAGUUUCCGCCCCCAUCAUCACAUGGCCUCCUCUCUGCGUGUGCCUCUGCAUUCCCUCUAUUCUUCUUCUAAGGACACCGACACCAGUCAUAGUGGAUUAAGGGUCCACUCCUAACUAAUUACAUCUGCAACAACCCUAUUUCCAAAUAAAGUCACAUUCUAAGA